CCUACGGGUGGCUGCAGUGGGGAAUAUUGCACAAUGGGCGCAAGCCUGAUGCAGCCAUGCCGCGUGUGUGAAGAAGGCCUUCGGGUUGUAAAGCACUUUCAGCGGGGAGGAAGGCGGUGAGGUUAAUAACCUCAUCGAUUGACGUUACCCGCAGAAGAAGCACCGGCUAACUCCGUGCCAGCAGCCGCGGUAAUACGGAGGGUGCAAGCGUUAAUCGGAAUUACUGGGCGUAAAGCGCACGCAGGCGGUCUGUCAAGUCGGAUGUGAAAUCCCCGGGCUCAACCUGGGAACUGCAUUCGAAACUGGCAGGCUAGAGUCCUGUAGAGGGGGGUAGAAUUCCAGGUGUAGCGGUGAAAUGCGUAGAGAUCUGGAGGAAUACCGGUGGCGAAGGCGGCCCCCUGGACAAAGACUGACGCUCAGGUGCGAAAGCGUGGGGAGCAAACAGGAUUAGAUACCCGGGUAGUC
rnacentral:rRNA from 1 species